UGUUGUUGGUUAAUUUUGUUGAAAACUAUUUAAAUGCAAGUGUUUAAAAAUUUGACUUUUUUCUUACUAAGGGGGCUACCUUCCUUCCCGUACUAAACCUACACGCUGUAAAGUUUCUCGGGCAGGCAGCAGCUACUUUUCAAACUUGAU